rnacentral:rRNA from 1 species
UACAGAGGGGGCAAGCGUUGUUCGGAAUUACUGGGCGUAAAGCGCGCGUAGGCGGCUUUGCAAGUCGGGUGUGAAAUCCCCAGGCUUAACCUGGGAACUGCAUUCGAGACUGCAUUGCUAGAGUAUGGGAGAGGGAAGUGGAAUUUCCGGUGUAGCGGUGGAAUGCGUAGAUAUCGGAAGGAACAUCAGUGGCGAAAGCGACUUCCUGGACCAAUACUGACGCUCAUGUGCGAAAGCGUGGGGAGCAAACAGG